ensembl:snRNA Gm55611 U6 spliceosomal RNA
GUGCUCACUUUGACAACACAUAUUCUAAAAUUGGAACAAUACAAAGAUUAGCAUGGUCCCUGCACAAAUGAUGGCAUACAAAUUCACAAAGUAUUCCAUAUUUUU